GAAAGUUGUACAUUUCGGUUAUCAUAUGAUUAGAAAUAUACCUUGCUCCCUAUCUUUUUGGAUAUGCACUUCUGUUAGUUAUGUGAGCUAUGGUUGUCCUGUUACAUGUACUUCUUGGGGCAGUAGCACUACUCAUCUGCAUGUACAAUGUUUAUUUAUAUACAAGACAAAAUGACUGCAGACUUGGUUUAUAUUAGGUCUCCUUUCCAAAUAUGGUUCUGAUUUUUUUUCUUUGAUGCCAGGUGCCACAUUGUGCAGAACAAGGAGAGAUUGUUGAGGCGGAGCCGUGACGAUUGUGGAGGAGUUUGGAGUACUAUGAGCAUUUCUGAAGGUUCACACCAUGGCGACUGCUGGAGCAAGCAUUCACCUCAAUGCAGGGGACAUCUGGUUGAUAACAAUCUUCUCCCGUUUAGUUAUCCUUUGCUGCUCCAUUUUAAAUCUCCUCCUGCUUAAAAGUUUUUUGUUCCUUUCUUCUUGCUGAGUACUUCAUGGCCUGGUUGUGUUUGACCCCUUCGUGGUGCUGACUGGUGUGCCACCCCGGUGAGAUCCAACAUGAAGAAUAGGAAGUAGAGAGGGAGGUGGGGAGAACUUGUGUAAAGAUGAUUAGGAGGUCAUGGAUUUGUGUACCUAGCUACCAUACCUAAUAUUGUGUCUGCUACACAUAUUUAUUUUUAUGGUUUGCUUC